rnacentral:rRNA from 1 species
AUUGAACGCUGGCGGCAUGCCUUACACAUGCAAGUCGAACGGCAGCACGGGUGCUUGCCCCUGGUGGCGAGUGGCGAACGGGUGAGUAAUACAUCGGAACAUGUCCUGUAGUGGGGGAUAGCCCGGCGAAAGCCGGAUUAAUACCGCAUACGAUCUACGGAUGAAAGCGGGGGACCUUCGGGCCUCGCGCUAUAGGGUUGGCCGAUGGCUGAUUAGCUAGUUGGUGGGGUAAAGGCCUACCAAGGCGACGAUCGGUAGCUGGUCUGAGAGGACGACCAGCCACACUGGGACUGAGACACGGCCCAGACUCCUACGGGAGGCAGCAGUGGGGAAUUUUGGACAAUGGGCGAAAGCCUGAUCCAGCAAUGCCGCGUGUGUGAAGAAGGCCUUCGGGUUGUAAAGCACUUUUGUCCGGAAAGAAAUCCUUGGCCCUAAUACGGUCGGGGGAUGACGGUACCGGAAGAAUAAGCACCGGCUAACUACGUG